UACGUAGGGGGCAAGCGUUACUCGGAAUUACUGGGCGUAAAGGGUGAGUAGGCGGCUGAGCAAGUCAAGGAUGAAAGCCCGAGGCUCAACUUCGGAAUUGUCCUUGAAACUGCUAAUCUUGAGGGUAGUUGAGGAGAGUGGAAUUCCCGGUGGAGCGGUGAAAUGCGUAGAUAUCGGGAGGAUCACCUGAGGCGAAGGCGGCUCUCUAAGUUAUUCCUGACGCUGAAUCACGAAAGCUAGGGGAUCAAACGGG
rnacentral:rRNA from 1 species